GUCCAAUGCUCGAAACGUUUGACAGAUUCUCCCACUUUGAAGUGAUGGAGGCGUGGACCUCCAAAAACGUCACCCCUGAUUGGUUAGAGUGGUUGCCGUAGAAACGAUGACUCGGGUUGACUGAUUUCUGUUGAAAUUUGUUGAAACUGGAGGUAAGUCAUCUAUUUGUUCUAUUUCUCAUAUACAGUUAAUGUUUUUUCCAAACAUCAUUAAGCCUCAGAACUUUUUUAAAGGUACCGGUUCAAUACUCAUCCCUACUGAAGACAGCAGUGAAGAAGAUCUUCUGCUUGCCUCCCAAAUCGAGUCAGUUUCAAAUGAGCUUGUUCUCACUUUCCCAGCUUUUUUGUUAUCUUAAGAUUGACCGUCAUCCCUUAACGUGAGGGUUUAACGUCUAAACCGACGGACGAACCGGAUCUGCUCUCCGAAAGCCUCCAACCCUCACAGCGGCUCAGCUAGCGGAAGGCUGACUGAUGAGUGGGAGGAAAACCUAAUGAGCUGAACUCCCAGAAUGACUCAAUGAACAGCAAGCCUCCCACACAGAAUUCAGAUCAUUUUUUUUUUUAAUCUGGAAAAUAGAUUAAAAUAAGAAACUCUACAUGAGGACUGUGGGAUUCUGGUGGGAACUGGGAGUGAUUCACAGCACAGGCGUCCUGCCUCUUCCUCCAGCUUCCUCCACCGACGGGUUCGCGCCUUCCUGCCUCUCCGUUCUUUAUUUCUAUUUUUGCCUCCUCAGAAAAUGAAAGCUUAUCGAGGUUUUUCACCUCGAAGGUCAAGCUCCUCUGACAGAUUACUACUGCUGAGAAGUCUGUGCUGUUUUCCACGUGUGGAGGAGGAAAUCUCCACUGUGAAUUGAAGCAAAGAGUCUGGAAUGAGUGUAAACUCCAAAGUCUCAUCAAUGCUCUGACCUGGAGCAUCACAAACAAGCAGGUUCAAGAGAGCAGCAAUCCGGCCCACUGGAAGGAGCAGCGGUUGAGGAGGACACUCCAGGAUUACUUCAUGACAGACGAGACCGUCUCUGCUGAGUUUUACUGGAUUGCUGCACUGAAAGGAUUCAGCGCUGGGAGAGCUCAGAGACCCGAGUGUGGCGCCGGGAUAACUAAGUCAACGGCGCUCGUAGCUUUGUGUGAGGGAGGCUUGGGAGCAAAGAUAAGAGGCUCUUAAACAUGCUGCUCAGGAGGAAGAGCUCAGGUGUCAGCGAGCUUUCAAACACCACUUUGGACCCCUCAGAAAAGACAGUUUGCCACAGAGCCCAGGAGAACUUAUCGUCAGAAAGCAG
ensembl:lncRNA